rnacentral:rRNA from 1 species
GUAGGUGAACCUGCGGAUGGRUCAUUUGAAUWAACUUUUCUACUAUACGUGUGAUUCGUAUAACAAAUUUAUGUGUUCGGGUGAUAGAAAGUUCACCUGUAACCGGUUUAGCUUGAUUGCUGAACCGAACCUGGGGUUUGCCUCAGGUUUGAUAUUUAAUCCACCAGUCUAAACUAUUUUAAUUAUAAAAACUUAUAACUUUUGGCGAUGGAUGUCUCGGUUCUUGCUUCGAUGAAGGACGCAGCUUACUGCGAUAAGCAGUGUGACUUGCAGAAUUCAGAGAAACACUUGAUUUUUGAACGCGAAAGGUACUCUCUAGUUUCGCUGGAGAGUAUGUCCAGUUCAGUGCCUCAUCUUUCUGCUACCAUCCUUGUGAUGUAGCGUGAAUAGGAGCUAUGCGUUCGUAUGGCGCCUCAACUGCAUAUAAAACCGCUUUGUUGGUGGACAUCAACCAAGGCAAACGUUUUAUGGUACACUUUUUCAAAGGUCUGAGCUUGGGCAAGGCUACCCGCUGAAUUUAAGCAUAUCAAUAAGCG